rnacentral:lncRNA from 1 species
AGGCCCCCCUUAUCCCCGCCCCCUCGGUUCCCAUUGGCCGCAGCCCCCCCGUUAUCCCCGCCCCCCGGCUGCCAUUGGCCGCACUUGUCGCAGAAGGCGGAGAUGGUUUCCCAGUAGUGCUCGUGCACCGCGAACCACUCGCAGUCGCCGGGCCCGAUGUUGAUGUUCACCGAGCAGAAGUUGUUGUUCUCCUGGUGGCCUGGGGGGGGGGAACCACAACGUGUCACCUCCACCGCGUGUCACCUCCCCCAGUGUCACCUCCACAAUGUGUCACCUCCCCCAAUGUCACCUCCAUGUGGUGUCACCUCCCCCAAUGUCACCUCCAUGUGCUGUCACCUCCAAAAUGUGUCACCUCCCCCCCAUGUCACUUCCAUGUGGUGUCACCUCCCCAACAUGUCACCUUCAUAGUGUGUCACCUCCCCCCCACGUCACCUCUGUGUGCUGUCACCUCCAAAAUGUGUCACCUCCAUGUGGUGUCACCUCCACACUGUGUCACCUCCACAAUGUGUCACCUCCACGUGUCACCUCCAUGUGCUGUCACCUCCAAAAUGUGUCACCUCCCCAACGUAUCACCUCCAUGUGGUGUCACCUCCCCAACGUGUCACCUCCAAAAUGUGUCACCUCCCCCCCAUGUCACCCCCAAAAUGUGUCACC